GACGUAGGGCGCGAGCGUUGUCCGGAUUUAUUGGGCGUAAAGAGCUCGUAGGCGGCUUGUCGCGUCGUCCGUGAAAACCUGUGGCUCAACUGCAGGCUGGCGUCGAUACGGGCAGGCUGGAGUUCGGUGAGGGAGACUGGAAUUCCUGGUGUAGCGGUGAAAUGCGUAGAGAUCGGGAGGAACACCCGUAGCGAAGGCGGCCGACUGGACCACACCUGGACGGCUGAGGCGCGAAGGCCAGGGGAGGCGGAACGGGGAU
rnacentral:rRNA from 1 species